AUGAUUCCGAGGUUGGAUCUGAAAAUGAGCGCUUGGGUCAUGAGGAAGGCAAAUCCUCGGUGUCGUGUAAUUGAAAUAGACGAAGAGAAGAAGAUUGCUUUCACAGCUGAAGAUUUCCACAAGGUUUUCGGCGUCCCGUGUGGGAACCGUGAUGUGUGUGGCAGGGAUGCACAAAUUGCUGCUCCGGCAAUCAAUUUUAUCAAGCGUACAAUUGGUAUGGAUGGUUCAGUUGCUCAAAAUUUGAAAGCGGCUGAAAGCUUCAUACACAGAGAGCUUUCUGAGGAUUCUAGUAAGAUGAAGAAGGAUUGCUUUCAGAUUGCUUUUGUAGUUUUUGUGUUGGGUUACCUGAUAGCACCGUGCACGAAGUAUGACUCGAUGACAAUUGAUUUCUGGGGUGCUCUGUCCAACCCGGAAUUGAUAGCACAAUUCAGUUGGUGUGAAUAUGCUAUCCAGAAGCUGAUGGCAGCUGUAUCGAAGGUGCAGAAUGAUUAUCAGAGCAAAGCAGCAACGGUCCAUCUCUUCGCGUGCCAUUUUUUCUUCCAGAUAUUCUUGCUGGAUAACAUUUAG
rnacentral:rRNA from 1 species